rnacentral:lncRNA from 1 species
UUGCCUAGAUAGAUACUUUGGGUCCCUUGAGAGUUUAUUACCUAGUAACUGGUAAUAUUCUUCUUAGUUUGCAGUUGUUACUUCUUGCCCAAUACCCGACAAAAGUAACCUCUUUUCUCCCCAGCGGAUUCAUUUUUUCAUGUUUCCUCAGGAGGUAUAUCCUUGAUAUGUUCAUCCUAACCGGUGACAGAUAUUUUCUUCCCGUGUUCUGAGUUUAUCCUUGAUAUGUUCAUCUUAACCGGUGAC